rnacentral:rRNA from 1 species
ACGGGAGGCAGCAGUGGGGAAUAUUGCACAAUGGGCGAAAGCCUGAUGCAGCGACGCCGCGUGAGCGAAGAAGUAUUUCGGUAUGUAAAGCUCUAUCAGCAGGGAAGAAAAAAUGACGGUACCUGACUAAGAAGCCCCGGCUAACUACGUGCCAGCAGCCGCGGUAAUACGUAGGGGGCAAGCGUUAUCCGGAUUUACUGGGUGUAAAGGGAGCGCAGGCGGCAGGGCAAGUCUGAUGUGAAAGCCCGGGGCUCAACCCCGGGACUGCAUUGGAAACUGCUCAGCUAGAGUGUCGGAGGGGUAAGUGGAAUUCCUAGUGUAGCGGUGAAAUGCGUAGAUAUUAGGAGGAACACCAGUGGCGAAGGCGGCUUACUGGACGACAACUGACGCUGAGGCUCGAAAGCGUGGGGAGCAAACAGGAUUAGAUACCCUGGUA